ACCUACUUCGAGUCUUCGACCUUUCCGUCAUUCACCAGAGGUCCAGAACGCAACUCUCUCUCUCUGGAACUCAACCCAAUCUGAGCACAGCAACCUCCCAUUCAUUUCCGUCACCCAAAUCCCAACUCUCAUCUCUCUCUGUCGCCCAAUUUGUCAAGAAAAAGAGCGCACUGAAUUGGAGGAUCUUACUGAAGACGUAUUUGAUUUGACAUUGCAAGAUAGAUCUGGAGAAGGAGAAAGCCGCAAUUAAGAUGACUUAGAUGUAUUUUAUUUAGUACAUUAAAAAUGUAUUUUAUUUAGUACAUUAAAUAUGUAUUUCGAACCUAUUGAAAUAUUUAAUUAUAUCUACUAGGCUACUAGCUUAGCUCAACCAACA